rnacentral:ncRNA from 1 species
UCGUUCCACUAGGGGUGCCGAGAGGCUGAGAGGGGAGCGAUCCCCAACCCUUAGGACCUGAUCCGGGUCAUACCGGCGGAGAGCAACGUGGAACAGGAACCUG